CCUACGGGUGGCAGCAGUGGGGAAUAUUGCACAAUGGGCGCAAGCCUGAUGCAGCAACGCCGCGUGAGGGAUGAAGGCCUUCGGGUUGUAAACCUCUUUUAGCAGGGAAGAAGCGAAAGUGACGGUACCUGCAGAAAAAGCGCCGGCUAACUACGUGCCAGCAGCCGCGGUAAUACGUAGGGCGCAAGCGUUGUCCGGAAUUAUUGGGCGUAAAGAGCUCGUAGGCGGUUUGUCGCGUCUGCUGUGAAAAUCCGAGGCUCAACCUCGGACCUGCAGUGGGUACGGGCAAACUAGAGUGCGGUAGGGGAGAUUGGAAUUCCUGGUGUAGCGGUGGAAUGCGCAGAUAUCAGGAGGAACACCAAUGGCGAAGGCAGAUCUCUGGGCCGUAACUGACGCUGAGGAGCGAAAGCGUGGGGAGCGAACAGGAUUAGAUACCCUAGUAGUC
rnacentral:rRNA from 1 species